UACGUAGGGGGCAAGCGUUGUCCGGAAUCAUUGGGCGUAAAGCGCGCGUAGGCGGCCCUGUAAGUCCGUUGUGAAAGUCAAAGGCUCAACCUUUGAAAGCCGAUGGAUACUGCAGGGCUAGAGUCCGGAAGAGGCGAGUGGAAUUCCUAGUGUAGCGGUGGAAUGCGCAGAUAUCAGGAGGAACACCGGUGGCGAAGGCGGAUCUCUGGGCCAUUACUGACGCUGAGGAGCGAAAGCGUGGGGAGCGAACAGG
rnacentral:rRNA from 1 species